GGCACAGUGGCUUAGUGGUCAUCACAUUUGCCUCACGCCUCUGGGGUUGGGGGUUCGAAUCCUGCCUCUGCCC